CACAUGCUUUGUUUUUAUGUUGAUUUCAUAGCGGAACUUGAUAUUAUAAUGAAUCUUCUUUGACUAAAUACAAUACGUAUCUUGUUACUUUCGGGUUUGUUUUAGUAAGGACGAUUAGGAGUAAUUGAGAGCAGCUGCGACGUACCAUGCAAAUGAUAAGGCGUUCCGGUUAAAUGAGUAUGAGAAUUGCGGAUAAGUAUUUAAUAUUUCGAUGCGUACGCACUAUAUAGCAUAGAAUAAAGAUCCAUAUAGAAGGGCCACUUACGUCGGAAGCUUUGAAGUUUCCGUCCUCGCGCAUGUCGCAUUACGCAUGUUGGCCGCCAUUUUCCUAGCCAGUCAAUGACAUUUUCUGGCCAAUAAACGCGCUGUACUGGCUGGCUGCUCCGCCUUCUGGCCAGUAAACUGCAUAUUUUU